CUCAAUGAGAUUAUGAAAACCAAGCAGCUGGAUGUGCACGUCCGCUUCUGGGAUGAGGGGCAGGUUCAUUCAAAUAUCUGGGCUCCCAGUUUAUGGGACACUCCACUGCACAGGACUUGCUGUCCCACCUCAAAGAAUGCAUGGACAAACUGGACCUCAGGGGCUUGGUGUCCCUCUCAGUGGAUGGGCCCACUGUGAACUGGAAACUGUUCGAUCUUUUCCAGAAAGAACAAGCUAAACAAUACAGAGAUGUUCAGCUUGUUUGUGUGGGGAGCUGUGGCCUGCACACGCUACACAACGCGUUCAAGUGUGGGUUCACUGCAUGGCAGCUGGACAAGUUGCUUAGAGCAAUGCACACAUUGUUCCACAAUGUGCCCGCCAGGAGAGAGGAUUACAUCACAGUAACAAAGUCCAGUGUGUUCCCCCUGUCCUUCUGUGCCCAUCGCUGGGUGGAAAACCUACCUGUUGUCGAGAGAGCCCUUGUAGUCUGGCCAUCACUGCUCCUGUACAUGGAGGCUGUGAAAACGAAGACACUCCCAAACCCUGGAACCGCAUCCGCUAACACCAUUGAAGCAGCCAUGAAGGAUCCUCUCAUAUUGGUGAAACUGCAGUUCUACACGGCACUAGCCAGGACCUUCACUCCCUUCCUGAAAAAAUAUCAAACGGAUGAGCCUGUGCUGCCAUUCCUCUCCAAGGACCUGACCGAGUUGAUGAUGAGUCUACUCAGACGCUUCAUCAAGAGAGAAGUCCUCCACAACAUCACUGCCCUGCAGCUGACCAAACUGGAUGUCACAGACAAGACCAUCUGGCUCAGCCCACAAGACAUCAGCAUUGGUCUAGGUGCCGAGUCAGUCCUUAAGAGGAUGUCAUUCUCCAACAGUUUGACAGUCUCCUGUCCUUGGAGAGCCGAAGUGAGGACUUCCUCUCCUUUCCUCCCAUGCAGAAGAGGCUGGACCUCUUCCUGAGCAGUGUCCUCAGGGAGCCCUAUCCCGAACUGUGGGCCUUCUGCAAGAAGCUACUCAUCCUCUCCCACGGCCAAGCUACAGUUGAGAGAGGAUUCUCUAUCAACAAAGAGGUGGAGUUCGACAACAUACAAGAGGACACUGUGGUCACACGGAGGCUGAUGUGUGAUUACAUUAUGCAACAUGGAGGUGUUACCCAGGUUCCACUCAUUAAAGAGCUACUGGCAAAUGUAGCAGCAGCCAGGGCCAGAUAUCGGGUCCAUCUCGACACAGAGAGAAAGAAGAGGGAGGCAGAAGCCCAGGCUCUUAAGAGGAAGGGAGCAGAGGACCAACUUCAGGACCUAAGGGGGAAAAGGAGACACCUACAAGAGGUAUCUGAGGGUCUGGCCAGGGAUGCGGACAGGCUGAGGGGAAGGCAGGGAGCAAGAUGGCUGACCUAAUCACAAGGUCCAACCUCCUGAGGAGAGGCCAUAAGGAGAAGUUGGCGGAACUGGCUGUCCUUGACAAAGAGAUUGCUGCCAAGAGUGCAGAGCUUAGGAGUUGACUUUGUUUCUGAUGUUCAUUGUUUAUUUUGUUAAUAGCUGGUUGGGGAAGAGUCUCCCCUGUUCUAUUCUGCAAUGAGAUGACACCCCCUCAUCUUUACACAACCACAGAUUUUCAGGGUUCAUACACAUUUUAACCAACAAAUUUCCAUGACUUUCUCAUGACUUGGUAGCAAGUUUCCAUGACAAUACAUGACCUCUAAAACAUCUAUGUAUGCAUGAAAUAUAGGAAUAAAACUAUGUAAACAAAUUAUCACAGUGGAAAUGUCAAAAAAAUGGAUCUAAUGACAAUUAUGGUUUUAUACAAAAUAAAUAUUUGUUUAAACAAACACUGAUAGACCAGUUUACAUAAGGUAAGGUAUAUGUUAUUGUGUUCUGGAAUAAUUUCAUGAGGCAUACAUGUUUCGGAGGUAACAAGGUCUGAAAAAUGAAUAAGCAAAUGAAGGUACCCAAGAAUACUUUAAUAAUAAAACAUAAGGAGGAAACGUUUUAAAGCAGCUCAUCAUGGAGGCGAAAACAAAACAACCUUUACACAGUUUCCUGCUCUAUAUGAUCAGUAAUAUGUCAGCUCUGUGAUGGAAGAAAUACUUUGCACUCUGCUUAAGAAAAAGAUAAAAAAAGAGAUAAUUUCCUACGAUCCGGUUAAAGUCUAAAAGGAGAACGUUUCUGAGCUCUGGAUUUCAGAGGCGUGUUGCAACGAGAGCAGGAUUUAUGGAAGAGUGUUAGGCCACUGUAAAAAAAAAAUGUUUUUUUGAGCUCUGACUUUUUUUUUAACAAGCUUUACAUUAAAGUGAAAUUUUCACAUCAACGUGCAAGCUAUAGCCUCCUCCCACAGAAACAAUCCAUACAUCAUUCAUUUUUUCAUUUCUGCCAGCUUCUCAUCAAUUUGCUUUUCAAUCUUCAGCAGAGAAGCUUUCUUUUCUUUUGCAGUACGCCGGAAACUGUUGGAUUUGGCGAUGAAUGUCAGUUUGCUUGUGGUCUCUGCUUUCUCAGCAUAUUCAUCAGCUGACUUUUCUAGAGCACAAAUAUCAGCCUCAAUUGUAGCCCUCCCCUUUUUCUAAUCAUGGAGUUCAUCAUUGAGGGCCUUCCGCUUCAGAUCAACAGUUUGCUUUUCUGUGACUCUUUUCUGCUCAUCCAAGUAGGCAUGAUACUUUUGUCAAGCACCUGCUGCUGACAUGAGCAGCUCUUUUGUGAUGUUAACGUUUGUUACACCCCCAACAGAUCAGACAUGGUCGACAAUGAGUCUCUGCGCCACCAAAGACAGUUCUUUCUGAUUCUCCACAAUCAAUUCUUUGUUGACUGAAAAUCCUCUUUCCACACUGGCCUGUCCAUGAGACAGGACCAGUACAAGCUUCAUCAGAUCCCACACUCUGCAAAAAGAUGGCUUUGUCCCCACUGUCUCGUAGAGAAGGCUGUCAACCUCUAUCUGUGAUGGGAUCAAACUCCCUGAAAGCAGAGUGACAACGAGCCAUAUCACAAACCUCCCUAAACUCUCUGAGGGUAUCAUCACACACUGCAUCAUCUAUGUGUUUACAUUCAACAAAUAUUCAAUUCAAUUCAAUUCAAUUUUAUUUAUAAAGCCCAAUAUCACAAAUCACAAUUUGCCUCACAGGGCUUUACAGCAUACGACAUCCCUCUGUCCUUAAGACCCUCACAGCGGAUAAGGAAAAACUCCCCAAAAAAACCCCUUUGACGGGGAAAAAAAAACGGUAGAAACCUCAGGAAGAGCAACUGAGGAGGGAUCCCUCUUCCAGGACGGACAGACGUGCAAUAGAUGUCGUACAGAACAGAUCAGCAUAAUAAAUUAACAGUAAUCCAUAUGACACACAGAGAGAGAGAGAGAGAGAGAGAGAUGCAGGUAAUGACAGUAGCUUACAACAACAUUAAUGAAAGUAAUAAUAUUAUAGUUAUAGUUCUGGUUACUGCGGUACAAUAUGUUGAAAGUAUGUAUUAAUACCUGGCAGUAUACAUGUGUGACAAUAAUCAUAUGUGUAUAAUAACAGAAGAAGUAUGACUAAUGACUAAUGAUGGCAGCAGCAGCAGGAGGCAUCUGGCAGGACCACGGCAGCAGCACAA